CACAGAGUUAGCCGGGGCUUCCUCUCGAGGUACCGUCAAGUUUACGGACUGUUUGCCCGCAAACCUUCGUCCCUCUCAACAGGGGUUUACAAUCCGAAGACCUUCAUCCCCCACGCGGCGUUGCUGGAUCAGGGUUUCCCCCAUUGUCCAAUAUUCCCCA
rnacentral:rRNA from 1 species